GCUUGGAUUUAAUCCAGAAAGAGUUAACAAUGCAUAACUUACCCGUGGCAGAGUUAUGUGAGUUGGGCGGGAGGUUGGCUCUUACACCACAAAGGAGCGCAUUUUCCACUCAAUCGCCUUCCACCACGCUGCGAGUGUAAUUCGGGCAGUGGAAAAAUUUUCAUUUCCUUGCCCCCGUUUUACCACCCCCACUCAGAAAUGGCAACGCAAGAGGUGCGACGACUUCUGCAGCAGUGCGGAUUAGAAGAGUACGCCAAAAAAUUUGAGGAAAACCAUAUUACCGAUGAUGAAUUGCUGGAGUUAUCGAAGGAAGAUCUCGCAGACCUCAUCCCCAGUAUUGGACAUCGCUCAAAACUCAGCAAGGCCAUUGUUAAGCUAAAAUCAGGGAGUAUUUACGUAUGUUUUAAAUGUACAGAUAAAUUUAGAAAUUUAAGGCUAUUAUCCCUACAUUUAACAAAGUUUCAUAAACUAAAGCUAGAGAGUGAAUAUAAAUGCCCACAUUGUAAUGGUUCAUUUGCACGCAGGGCUUAUCUUGGUCACUUUGCGAAUAUUUUUAAACUUCAUUCCCAACUUUUAAGUGGUGUAUCACUUACUGAUUGCCAUACCGAUUUGCUAAAUCAAGAAGAGUUAGAGGAAAAAGAUGACGAGUUUUUGUCCCCUCCUAAAUUAGAAGACUUUUCUGGUCCUGAGUCAGUUAUACAUUUCGAAUCAUGCAUUGCAAAAUUAUACGCUAGUAUCUUAGAGUCUGGAAAGAUCCCCAUGGUUAGUUGUACCAAAAUCAUGUCCGUCGUGAAGGAAAGCAUAGCAGAAGUAAUUAAAAUUAGCGAAUUUCGUAACAGUUAUAAUGGAAAUCCAACCAAGUACAGUCCGGUUAGGGAUUUAUUAGCCGUUUUUGACCAGUUUAGUUCAAGAUACAAAAUGGAUAAGUAUUUAUUAAGUAGAAAUUUCAUGAUUGAACCCAAAGAAAUUGUCCUUGACACCGACAUAUCCUUUCAGUCUAGAAGUUUGGGGUCACGAAAGCAGGAAUAUAAGAAUGUCACUAUGCAAUACAUUUCUAUUAAGAAAUCCAUUCAACAGUUGCUUCGAAAACCAGGAUUUUUCUCAAUUUUGCAAACUAAUAGUAACUUUAACGGUGAAAAUUUCUCUUGCUUCCGGGAUGGAAAAUUUGUAAGAGAUUUUAAUCAGCCCAGAGAAACAAUAUUUAUCAAUCUCUAUUACGAUGAUGCAGAAGUAGCCAAUCCUCUGGGUUCAAAAAGUGGAAAACACAAACUAGCAAACUUUUAUUUCUCUAUAAUUGAUCUUCCACAACACCUCCUUUCAAAAUUAGACAAUGUUAUUCUUGUUGCAUCACUUAAAACCGAGGACUUCAAAUUAUGUUCCCCAAAUUCGGUUUUACGAGUAAUUACUAAUGAAUUGAAGGAGGUUUGGGAGGAAGGAAUAUUGUUUGUACACAAUGGUGAGCAAAUUAAUUUAAAAAUUGCAUUAGCUCAGGUAUGUGGAGAUAAUUUAGGAUUACAUACUCUUUUAGGAUUUUCCGAAGGUUUUAAUGCAAAUUAUCCCUGUCGGCGUUGUAAAAUGCAUAAAAAAGAGUGCCAGAGUGUUUGUUUCGAAUCAAAAUCUAAACUCAGAACUGUAGCAAAUUAUUCGUUAGAUGUGGAGAUAAAUAAUCUCAGCGAAACAGGGUUGAAUUUUUCUUCCAUUCUGAAUAUUUUACCAUAUUUUCAUGUUAUUAACAAUUUUGUCUUCGAUAUUAUGCACGACUUAUUUGAGGGGGUGGUGCCUGACUUAUUUCAUUCCGUUGUAAAUUACUUGGUUUCAAAAAAUAAGCUGUCGGUUGACAAAUUGAAUUAUCGCCUAGAGUCAUAUGAUUUUGGUCGCCAUUACGGGAAAAGUAGGCCGUCACAAAUUAAACCAACAUUUAUGAAGGGAGACACCAAAUCUGGCCAAAAUGCUUCGCAAAACAUAUGUAUUGCUCUUUAUCUUCCUAUUUUACUUGGCGAUUUGAUCGACACUUCUGAUAAAACUUGGUCACUAUUCUUGUUAUUAAACGAAAUAGCCAGGAUCCUCCUUGCAAAUUUUAUUUCAUCUGGUGGGCUUGUUUUACUUGAUUCUCUUAUCGCUGAAUUCCUGCACCAAUAUCAGGACAUGAUUCGAAAGCCAUUGAAACCAAAACAUCAUCACAUGUUGCACUAUUCUUCCGCCAUUAAGCAGAUAGGACCCCUUCGUCAGUUUUGGAGCAUGCCCUUCGAGGCGCGCCAUAAGUUUUUCAAAACAACUGCACAUGUCGUAGGCAAUUUCAAAAAUAUUUCGAAAUCAUUGGCAUAUCGUUUUCAAUUAUCUCGUUGUUUUAAGCUGCUUUCUUUGGAAACAUUUUCGCCACACUCAUUUGCUUGCAAUGAUUACCAGUCAAUAAAUUUGGCAGACACGAUAGAAAAUGAAUUAUUACUGGGAAAAUUUAGCAAAUUGGCGACGGAUCAGAUAGUUGUGACGACUAAAAUUACAAAAAAUGGCUCUGAUUUUGAGGUGGGUGGAUAUAUCUUGUUAGAAUAUUACAGAGAAAUGCCAAUUUUUGGUCGCAUUGACAGAAUCAUUUUGGACAAUGACGAUUGUCACUUUGUAGUUAAAAAGUUUAGUAGUGAGUAUAUUGCUCAAUAUGCUGGAUACAAACUUUAUGAAUCCGGACUAUCCAUACUUAUUGACUAUAAUGAUGUAAAAUAUUUUCAAUGCUUUUAUUCUGCUAUAUCAUUUAGCAAUGACUCAGAGCAUUUUAUUAUUCUGCCAAUAAUAUAUAUUUAAACUUAUUGUGGUAGUAAACAAUAAUUUAUUGAGGGGAUGUCCAAAAAUUAAGAUAAUUUAACUAUAAAUGAACAUAAGUUCAUAACAUAACGUAGGUUCACAUAACUCCCAUUUGCGCCAUAUGUAAAAAUGGGAUGUACAUAAUGCAUCACGAGGGGAAGAAGGGUUUGAAAAGUCUGCAUUUUUUCGUGAAAUAAUUUAUGGGCGUUCCCUUCAAAUUAUUAUGUAAGUUGUUAAUAAAUAUAUAAUUUAGGAUUCGCAGUCAUCAGUUUUUAGCGGAUCAAUAUUAGAUGAAGCCGAAAUAAGAGAACGGGGGUUAAACAUUUCGCCAACAUUGUUUAGCAAACCUGAGCGGAAACGUAACCCACCAAAUUUUCAGCCAAGCAAUUUAUUUGAAGACAUAUCACCAAAUCACGAAGAAUUGACAACCAGAGAGCCUAUUAUUAACGAGUCGUCGCAAGGAGAGAUCAUUAACCAAAUCUCCGAUCCAAUUCCCAUAGAGAUUGAUGGCUCAUUUCUGCAAUUACAUAGUACCGAUGAAUUAGAAUCUGGACCAUUACACCAGAUUAACUUCUCGAACAACAAAUCCAAUGUCCUGAACGUUCCGACCAUCCAGAAAAAAUUUUAUGGAUUCAGCAUCCAGUCCGUGCUUUUGGGAACCGAAUCCACUAGAAGAAUUUUAAAUGAAAAAAUUCCGGCCAAAAGGAUGC